CACGCUGUAAACGAUGAGUGCUAGAUGUUGGGGGUCACACCUCGGUAUCGCCGUUAACACAUUAAGCACUCCGCCUGGGGAGUACGUGCGCAAGCAUGAAACUCAAAGGAAUUGACGGGGGCCCGCACAAGCGGUGGAGCAUGUGGUUUAAUUCGAAGCAACGCGAAGAACCUUACCAGGCCUUGACAUCCCCUGACCGUCAUGGAAACAUGGCUUCUCUUCGGAGCAGGGAGACAGGUGG
rnacentral:rRNA from 1 species